AUACUUACCUGGCAGGGGAGAUACUAUGAGCAUGAGGGUGGUUUUCCCAGAACAAGGCUUGCCCUUUGCAAUCCAGAUGUGCUGACCCCUGUGAUUUCCCCAAAUAUGGUAAACUCGAGUGCAUACUUUGUUGUGGUAGUGGACUGCAUUUGCGUCCUGCCC